rnacentral:rRNA from 1 species
GCGUGGAUGAUGAAGGCCCUAGGGUUGUAAAAUCCUUUCGCCGAGGACGAUAAUGACGGUACUCGGAGAAGAAGCUCCGGCUAACUUCGUGCCAGCAGCCGCGGUAAUACGAAGGGGGCUAGCGUUGUUCGGAUUUACUGGGCGUAAAGCGCGUGUAGGCGGGUCGUUAAGUUGGGGGUGAAAUCCCGAGGCUCAACCUCGGAACUGCCUCCAAAACUGGCGACCUGGAGCAAGAUAGAGGCGAGUGGAAUUCCGAGUGUAGAGGUGAAAUUCGU